rnacentral:rRNA from 1 species
AUUGAACGCUGGCGGCAGGCCUAACACAUGCAAGUCGAGCGGAUGAAGGGAGCUUGCUCCUGGAUUCAGCGGCGGACGGGUGAGUAAUGCCUAGGAAUCUGCCUGGUAGUGGGGGAUAACGUCCGGAAACGGGCGCUAAUACCGCAUACGUCCUGAGGGAGAAAGUGGGGGAUCUUCGGACCUCACGCUAUCAGAUGAGCCUAGGUCGGAUUAGCUAGUUGGUGGGGUAAAGGCCUACCAAGGCGACGAUCCGUAACUGGUCUGAGAGGAUGAUCAGUCACACUGGAACUGAGACACGGUCCAGACUCCUACGGGAGGUAGCAGUGGGGAAUAUUGGACAAUGGGCGAAAGCCUGAUCCAGCCAUGCCGCGUGUGUGAAGAAGGUCUUCGGAUUGUAAAGCACUUUAAGUUGGGAGGAAGGGCGGUAAGUUAAUACCUUGCUGUUUUGACGUUACCAACAGAAUAAGCACCGGCUAACUUCGUG